UACGAAGGGGGCUAGCGUUGCUCGGAAUCACUGGGCGUAAAGCGCACGUAGGCGGCUUCUUAAGUCAGGGGUGAAAUCCUGGAGCUCAACUCCAGAACUGCCCUUGAUACUGAGGAGCUCGAGUCCGGAAGAGGUGAGUGGAACUCCGAGUGUAGAGGUGAAAUUCGUAGAUAUUCGCAAGAACACCAGUGGCGAAGGCGGCUCACUGGCCCGGUACUGACGCUGAGGUGCGAAAGCGUGGGGAGCAAACAGG
rnacentral:rRNA from 1 species